UACGGGGGGGGCAAGCGUUGUUCGGAAUUACUGGGCGUAAAGGGCUCGUAGGCGGCCCGCUAAGUCGAACGUGAAAUCCCCGAGCUCAACUCGGGAACUGCGUCCGAUACUGGCGGGCUUGAAUCCGGGAGAGGGAUGCGGAAUUCCAGGUGUAGCGGUGAAAUGCGUAGAUAUCUGGAGGAACACCGGUGGCGAAGGCGGCAUCCUGGACCGGCAUUGACACUGAGGCGCGAAAGCCAGGGGAGCAAACGGG
rnacentral:rRNA from 1 species